UACGUAGGUGGCUAGCGUUGUCCGGAUUUAUUGGGCGUAAAGCGCGCGCAGGCGGUCCUUUAAGUCUGAUGUGAAAUCUUGCGGCUCAACCGCAAGCGGUCAUUGGAAACUGGGGGACUUGAGUACAGAAGAGGAAAGCGGAAUUCCACGUGUAGCGGUGAAAUGCGUAGAGAUGUGGAGGAACACCAGUGGCGAAGGCGGCUUUCUGGUCUGUAACUGACGCUGAGGCGCGAAAGCGUGGGGAGCAAACAGG
rnacentral:rRNA from 1 species